GACGAACGCUGGCGGCGUGCUUAACACAUGCAAGUCGAACGGAAAGGCCCUGCUUUUGUGGGGUGCUCGAGUGGCGAACGGGUGAGUAACACGUGAGUAACCUGCCCUUGACUUUGGGAUAACUUCAGGAAACUUGGGCUAAUACCGGAUAGGAGCUCCUGCUGCAUGGUGGGGGUUGGAAAGUUUCGGCGGUUGGGGAUGGACUCGCGGCUUAUCAGCUUGUUGGUGGGGUAGUGGCUUACCAAGGCUUUGACGGGUAGCCGGCCUGAGAGGGUGACCGGCCACAGUGGGACUGAGAUAAGGCCCAGACUCCUACGGGAGGCAGCAGUGGGGAAUAUUGCACAAUGGGCGGAAGCCUGAUGCAGCAACGCCGCGUGCGGGAUGACGGCCUUCGGGUUGUAAACCGCUUUCGCCUGUGACGAAGCGUGAGUGACGGUAAUGGGUAAAGAAGCACCGGCUAACUACGUG
rnacentral:rRNA from 1 species